GUCUACAGCCAUACUACCCUGAACAAACCCAAUCCCAUCUGAUCUCGGAAGCUAAGUAGGAUCGGGCCUGGUUAGUACUUGGAUGGGAGACCACCUAGGAAGACCAGGUGCUGUAGGCA
rnacentral:rRNA from 1 species